rnacentral:rRNA from 1 species
AUUGAAUGCUGGCGGCAGGCCUAACACAUGCAAGUCGAACGGUAACAGGAAGCAGCUUGCUGCUUUGCUGACGAGUGGCGGACGGGUGAGUAAUGUCUGGGAAACUGCCCGAUGGAGGGGGAUAACUACUGGAAACGGUAGCUAAUACCGCAUAACGUCGCAAGACCAAAGAGGGGGACCUUAGGGCCUCUUGCCAUCGGAUGUGCCCAGAUGGGAUUAGCUAGUAGGUGGGGUAACGGCUCACCUAGGCGACGAUCCCUAGCUGGUCUGAGAGGAUGACCAGCCACACUGGAACUGAGACACGGUCCAGACUCCUACGGGAGGCAGCAGUGGGGAAUAUUGCACAAUGGGCGCAAGCCUGAUGCAGCCAUGCCGCGUGUAUGAAGAAGGCCUUCGGGUUGUAAAGUACUUUUAGCGGGGAGGAAGGGAGUUAAGUUAAUACCUUUGCUGAUUGACGUUACCCGCAGAAGAAGCACCGGCUAACUCCGUG